UACGAAGGGUGCAAACGUUGCUCGGAAUUAUUGGGCGUAAAGCGCACGUAGGCGGCUUUGUAAGUCGGAUGUGAAAUCCCUCGGCUUAACCAAGGAAGUGCAUCCGAAACUACAGAGCUUGAGUACUUAAGAGGAUCGCGGAAUUCCCGGUGUAGAGGUGAAAUGCGUUGAGAUCGGAAGGAACGCCCGUGGCGAAAGCGAGUCCCUGGACGUCUACUGACGCUGAGACGCGAAAGCUAGGGGAGCGAACGGG
rnacentral:rRNA from 1 species